rnacentral:misc_RNA from 1 species
UCCGGUUUGUCACCGGCAGUCUCGCAUGAGUCCCCAACUGAAUGCUGGCAACAUGCGACGGGGGUUGCGCUUGUUGCGGGACUUAACCCAACAUCUCACGACACGAGCUGACGACAGCCAUGCAGCACCUGUGUUCCCGCCAGCCGAACUGAAGGAUCCCAUCUCUGGAACCCAUACGGGACAUGUCAAGGGCCGGUAAGGUUCUUCGCGUUGCAUCGAAUUAAACCACACGCUCCGCCGCUUGUGCGGGCCCCCGUCAAUUCCUUUGAGUUUCAACCUUGCGGUCGUACUCCCCAGGUGGCUCACUUAACGGUUUCCCUUGGACGCACACCAACAAGUGGCAUACGUCGAGUGAGCAUCGUUUAGGGCGUGGACUAC